rnacentral:misc_RNA from 1 species
GGAAGGAUCAUUAACAAAUAAAAACAAAUCUUUUUUUUUGAAUGAUAUUAAAUCAAAAAAAUAGGAUUUGCUUUGUUUAAAAACUUAAAGUAAAGGUUUUUUACCAAAGUCUUUAUCAACUAAAAAAACAAAUAAAAUAACACUUUCAACAAUGGAUAUCUUGGCUCCCGUUUCGAUGAAGAACGUAGCAAACUGCGAUAAUUGACGUGAAUUGCAGAAUAAAGUGAAUCGUCGAGUUUUUGAAUGCACCCUGCACCUCGGGGACAAAUCUCUGAGGUAUGCUUGGUUGAGUGUUACUAUCAUAAUUUAAUUGAAAAAAUAUUUGAAGGUCUCAUUUGAGUCCUUUGAAACAAAAAUUCAGUUCAACUAAAUUUCCAAAUACAGAACAAUUUUACAGAAAGAGAAAUGAAAAUUUUUUUGUACUGUGAGAUUCUCUACUGUAAUUGGGAAUAAGGUUUGUUAAAUAUACCUCAACUCAAGCAAGACAACCCGCUGAAUUUAAGCAUAUUAAUAAGCGGAGGAAAAGAAAACAACAGUGAUUCCCUUAGUAACGGCGAGUGAACAGGGAAAAGCUCAGACUUGAAAUCUGGAAGUCGAUUUUGAUUUCCCGAAUUGUAGUCUUUUGAGUAUCACCCCUUGGUUUCCUCUGUCAUGAAAAAGUAUCCUGGAACGGAUUGGCAUAGAGGGUGAGACCCCCGUUUUCAUAUGACGGAGAGAAGCUGAUACAGUGGGUGGUGCUUGUCGAGUCAGGUUGCUUGAGAGUGCAGCCUAAAACGGGUGGUAAACUCCACCUAAAGCUAAAUAAGCAACGGGAGACCGAUAGCGAAAAAGUACCGUGAGGGAAAGAUGAAAAGUACUCUGGAAAGAGAGUAAAAAGUGCUUGAAAUUGUUGAAAGAGAAGCGUUUGAACUUAGUGGCUGCCUUGUCCUUGGUAAAAUCUUUCAUGCAGCAAUGUCUGGAGGGUAUUUCACCAGGGACGGUGGGCUGGCACUGGUUGAGUUGUUGGCCUCAAGAAGGCCAAAAGCAGCUGGAUUGCUUGAAUGGGUUUGAGCUGCAUGGGUGCAGCAGGAGACCAGGUAACUGGCCUUUUUGCUGUCUGAUGUGGCAAACGACCUAUUUUUUUUUAACAAGCACAUGCUCACUUGACCAGUAAUUGAAUUAAAGUCUCAGUCCCUUCACCAGCUUAACCUGUGCUUGGUCAUCUGGCUUGGCUCAAUGUGCGGGGCCACCUUAUAUGCAUCUUUUGCAGAUUCCUGUAAGAGAGCAUGUGAGACCCUGUUCUUGGUGCUGCGUCAAAUGGUGAUCAAUCUUACGGGGGUUUGUACUCUGACUGCCAGCAAAAUAAGUUCAAAUGUCCCGUCUUGAAACACGGACCAAGGAGUCUAACAUGCACGCGAGCGUUCUGGUGAUUAAAACCAAAUAAAAUCAAUCAAACGCGAAACGAAAGUGAAAAGAAGUGGGAAGUUGCUCUUUCCAACUUGGGAGCUGCUGCACCACUCGCCCACUCUGAGGUACGUCCAAAAAGGGUGAGAGUGAAAGUGUGCAUGAUAGGACCCGAAAGAUGGUGAACUAUGCCUGGGUAGGACAAAGCCAGGGGAAACCCUGGUGGAAGUUCGUAGCGAUACUGACGUGCAAAUCGUUCGUCAAACCUGUGCAUAGUGGCGAAAGACUAAUCGAACCAUUUAGUAGCUGGUUCCCUC